rnacentral:rRNA from 1 species
GCGCGGACCUCAGUCCCGGCUGGCCGUAUUACACCCUGGGCUAUAACACCUCCACCGAAGUGGAGGCCACAUUCCCAGAGCCUUUAUCCGGCCGCCGAAACUGAUGCUGGCCUGUCCAAACUGAGUAAACCGGUCAGAAGACCGGCCGAACAGUUUAAACAAGUCUGAUUGCAAGCGCUUCCCUUUCAACAAUUUCACGUGCUUUUUAACUCUCUUUCCAAAGUGCUUUUCAUCUUUCGAUCACUCUACUUGUGCGCUAUCGGUCUCUCGCCAAUAUUUAGCUUUAGAAGAAAUUUACCUCCCAUUUAGAGCUGCAUUCCCAAACAACUCGACUCGUCGAAGGAGAUUUACAUAGGGUGCCAUUUCCUGUCACAUACGGGAUUCUCACCCUCUAUGACGUCCUGUUCCAAGGAACUUAGACAGGCGGCUUCCCCAAAUCAUCCUCUACAAAUUACAAUGCGAACCCGAAGGCUAGCUUUCAAAUUUGAGCUGUUGCCGCUUCACUCGCCGUUACUAGGG